rnacentral:rRNA from 1 species
UACAGAGGUCUCAACCGUUGUUCGGAUUCAUUGGGCGUAAAGGGUGCGUAGGCGGUCGCGUAAGUCAGGUGUGAAAUCUCAGGGCUCAACCCCGAAACUGCACUUGAUACUGCGUGGCUCGGGUACUGGAGAGGAGACUGGAAUUUACGGUGUAGCAGUGAAAUGCGUAGAUAUCGUAAGGAAGACCAGUGGCGAAGGCGAGUCUCUGGACAGUUACCGACGCUGAGGCACGAAGGUCAGGGGAGCAAACGGG